CCUACGGGUGGCUGCAGUAGGGAAUAUUAGAAAUGGACGAAAGUCUGAUCUAGCAACACCGCGUGUGCGAAGAAGGCCUUCGGGUUGUAAAGCACUUUUUGGAAGGAUUAGGAAGGAAUGUACUUCCAGAAUAAGUCUCGGCUAACUACGUGCCAGCAGCCGCGGUAACACGUAGGAGGCAAACGUUAUCCGGAUUUACUUGGCGUAAAGCGCGUGUAGGUGGUUCUGUAAGUAGGGCGUGAAAGCUCCUGGCUCAACUGGGAGAGGCCGUUCUAAACUGCAGAGCUAGAGGAUGGUAGAGGGAGGUGGAAUUCCGGGUGUAGCGGUGGAAUGCGCAGAUAUCCGGAGGAACACCAGUGGCGAAAGCGGCCUCCUGGACCAUUCCUGACACUCAGACGCGAAAGCUAGGGUAGCAAACGGGAUUAGAUACCCUAGUAGUC
rnacentral:rRNA from 1 species